CUCCUUGAGAGUCCUGAAGGAACGUUGAAGACGACGACGUUGAUAGGCCGGGUGUGUAAGCGCAGCGAUGCGUUGAGCUAACCGGUACUAAUGAACCGUGAGGCUUAACCUU
rnacentral:rRNA from 1 species